CUGGCCCCAGGACCCGCUGCCCACCGACAAGCUGGACUUUCGGCACCACAACUACGACGAGAUGCGGAAGCUGAUGCGACGGGUGAACGCCGAGUGCCCCAACAUCACCCACAUCUACAGCAUCGGCCGCAGCUACCUGGGCCUCAAGCUCUAUGUCAUGGAGAUCUCUGACAACCCCGGGCGCCAUGAAGUGGGCGAGCCCGAGUUCCGCUACGUGGCCGGCAUG